AUUGAACGCUGGCGGCAGGCCUAACACAUGCAAGUCGAGCGGAUGAAGGGAGCUUGCUCCUGGAUUCAGCGGCGGACGGGCGAGUAAUGCCUAGGAAUCUGCCUGGUAGUGGGGGAUAACGUCCGGAAACGGGCGCUAAUACCGCAUACGUCCUGAGGGAGAAAGUGGGGGAUCUUCGGACCUCACGCUAUCAGAUGAGCCUAGGUCGGAUUAGCUAGUUGGUGGGGUAAAGGCCUACCAAGGCGACGAUCCGUAACUGGUCUGAGAGGAUGAUCAGUCACACUGGAACUGAGACACGGUCCAGACUCCUACGGGAGGCAGCAGUGGGGAAUAUUGGACAAUGGGCGAAAGCCUGAUCCAGCCAUGCCGCGUGUGUGAAGAAGGUCUUCGGAUUGUAAAGCACUUUAAGUUGGGAGGAAGGGCAGUAAGUUAAUACCUUGCUGUUUUGACGUUACCAACAGAAGAAGCACCGGCUAACUUCGUG
rnacentral:rRNA from 1 species